AACGCUGGCGGCAUGCCUAACACAUGCAAGUCGAACGGAACUUAUUGAAUGAAGUUUUCGGAUGGAUUUUGGUAAGUUUAGUGGCGGACGGGUGAGUAACGCGUGAGCAACCUGCCUUUCAGAGGGGGACAACAGUUGGAAACGACUGCUAAUACCGCAUAAUGUAGCGAGACCGCAUGAUCUUGCUACCAAAGCUUUAUGUGCUGAAAGAUGGCCUCGCGUCUGAUUAGAUAGUUGGUGAGGUAACGGCUCACCAAGUCGACGAUCAGUAGCCGGUCUGAGAGGAUGAACGGCCACAUUGGGACUGAGAUACGGCCCAGACUCCUACGGGAAGCAGCAGUGGGGAAUAUUGGGCAAUGGGGGAAACCCUGACCCAGCAACGCCGCGUGAAGGAAGAAGGCCUUCGGGUUGUAAACUUCUUUUACCAGGGACGAAUACGUGACGGUACCUGGAGAAAAAGCAACGGCUAACUACGUG
rnacentral:rRNA from 1 species